rnacentral:rRNA from 1 species
AUGGAGGCCGAUCCACAUCCGGCGGUGGUGCUGCACGCCUGCUUGGGCGUGGGCCACCUCACCCCCAUGGUGGAGCUCGCCAAGCUCUUCCUCCGCCGCGGCAUCCCCGUCAUCAUCGCUGUCCCGACCCCUCCGGCCUCCACCGCCGAUAUCUUCGCCUCCUCCGCCCCCGCCGUCGCCAGCCUGGCCGCCGCCAACCCCACCAUCUCCUUCCACCACCUCCCGGCCCCGGAAUACCCCAACCCGGACCCGGAUCCCUACCUGCAGAUGGUCGACACGCUCCGCCUCACCGUGCCGUCCCUCCUCGCCUUCCUCCGCUCCCUCCCCUCCGUCGCCGCCCUCGUCCUCGACACCUUCUGCGUCGACGCCCUCGACGCCGCCGACGAACUCGGCAUCCCGGCGUACAUCUACUUCACCUCCUCCGCCGCCUACCUCGCGGCGUUCCUCCACCUCCCCCACUACCUCGCCACGACGGACGGUGGCGACUUCAAGGACAUGGGCAAGGAUCUCCUCCGCUUCCCCGGCGUCCCGCCGAUCCCUGCCUCGGACAUGCCCCAGAUCGUGCAGGACCGCGCGAGCCGGACCUGCGUCGUGCGGAUGGGGCAAUACAGGCGCAAACCGGAGGCCCGGGGCCUGCUGAUCAACACCUACGAGCGGCUGGAGGCGAGGGCCGUGAGGGCGCUCCGGGAGGGCGCCUGUGUCCCUGGCCGCCCGACCCCGCCGGUGUACUGCAUCGGGCCACUGAUCGUGAAAGGCGAGGCGGCGGCUCCGCGAGCGCAGAGCGCGUGCUUGUCGUGGCUGGACGCGCAGCCGGAGCGGAGCGUGGUGUUCCUCUGCUUCGGCAGCUUGGGCGCGAUGUCGGCGGCGCAGCUCAAGGAGAUAGCGCGCGGGCUCGAGAACUCCGGCCACCGCUUCCUGUGGGUCGUGCGGAGCCCGCCCGAGGACCCGGCCAAAUACUUCCUGCCGCGCCCAGAGCCAGACCUGAAUGCGCUCCUCCCCGAUGGGUUCUUGGAUAGGACGGCCGCGAGGGGGAUGGUCGUGAAGAUGUGGGCGCCGCAGGUGGAGGUGCUGCGGCACGCCGCGACCGGCGCGUUCGUGACGCACUGCGGGUGGAACUCCGUCAUGGAGGCGGCGUCGGCAGGAGUGCCGAUGCUGUGCUGGCCGCAGUACGCGGAGCAGAGGGCGAACAAGGUGUUCGUGGUGGACGAGAUGAAGCUCGGGGUGGUGAUGGAAGGGUACGACGAGGAGCUUGUCAAGGCAGAGGAGGUGGAGAAGAAGGUGAGGCUGUUGAUGGAGUCGGACGAAGGGGAAAAGCUCCGGGGAAGGCUGGCAUUGGCCAACAAGAAGGCGGCGGAGGCGCUGGCGGACGGCGGGCCGUCGCGGACGGCGUUUGCCGAAUUCUUGAAGGAUCUGAAGCUCCAGAAGUGA